CCUACGGGAGGCAGCAGUGAGGAAUAUUGGUCAAUGGGCGCGAGCCUGAACCAGCCAAGCCGCGUGAAGGAUGACUGCCCUACGGGCUGUAAACUUCUUUUAUAAAGGAGUAAAGUGAGGCACGUGUGCCUUUUUGUAUGUACUUUAUGAAUAAGGAUCGGCUAACUCCGUGCCAGCAGCCGCGGUAAUACGGAGGAUCCGAGCGUUAUCCGGAUUUAUUGGGUUUAAAGGGAGCGUAGAUGGGUUGUUAAGUCAGUUGUGAAAGUUUGCGGCUCAACCGUAAAAUUGCAAUUGAUACUGGCAGCCUGGAGUACAGGUGAGGUGGGUGGAAUUCGUGGUGUAGCGGUGAAAUGCGUAGAUAUAACGAAGAACACCGAUGGCGAAGGCGGCUUACUAAACUGCAACUGACAUUGAUGCUCGAAAGUGUGGGUAUCAAACAGGAUUAGAUACCCCAGUAGUC
rnacentral:rRNA from 1 species